rnacentral:rRNA from 1 species
AGAGUUUGAUCCUGGCUCAGAUUGAACGCUGGCGGCAGGCCUAACACAUGCAAGUCGGACGGUAGCACAGAGGAGCUUACUCCUUGGGUGACGAGUGGCGGACGGGUGAGUAAUGUCUGGGGAUCUGCCCGAUAGAGGGGGAUAACCACUGGAAACGGUGGCUAAUACCGCAUAACGUCGCAAGACCAAAGAGGGGGACCUUCGGGCCUCUCACUAUCGGAUGAACCCAGAUGGGAUUAGCUAGUAGGGCGGGGUAAUGGCCCACCUAGGCCGACGAUCCCUAGCUGGUUCUGAGAGGGAUGACCAGCCCCCACUGGGAACUGAAACCCGGUCCCAACUUCCUACCGGGAGGCAACCGUGGGGGAAUAAUUGCCCAUGGGGGGCAGCCUUAUGCCGCCCUGCCCCGUGGAAGAAAAAAGGCCCUUCGGGUUGUAAAGUACUUUUCACGGGGAAGAAAGCGAUGCGGUUUAAAACCCCCGUCUAUUGGCGUUUCCCCCCGAAAAAACACCCGGUAACUUCCUGGCCGCAGCCGCGGUAAUACAGAGGGGGGGAAGCCUUUAUCCGAAUACUGGGCGUAAAGGCACCCCGCGGCUGGUUAAUCCAAUGUGAAAAUCCCCCGGCUUAACCUGGGAACUGCAUUUGAAAUGGGAGGCUGAGUCUUGUAUAGAGGGGGUAGAAUCCACGUGUUACGGUGAAAUGCGUAAAAAUCUGGAGGAGUACCGGGUGGGCGAAGGCGGGCGCCCUCGUGACAGGACUGACGCUCACGUGUGCAAAGCAUGUGGAGCAAACGAUAGAUACCCUGGUAGUCCACGCCGGUAAAACGGAUGUCGAACUUGGAAGGUUUGUUCCCUUGGAGGGAGUGGCUUCCGGGAGCUAAACGCGAUUAAUGUCGAACCGCCUGAGGGAUGUACCGGCCCGCAAAGGUUAAAAUCUCAAAAUGAAUUUGACGGGGGGGCCCCGCCACAAGCCGGUGGAGAGCCAUGGUGGUUUAAUUUCGAUGGCAACGGCGAAAGACACCUUAACCUUACUUCUUUGACAAUCCAGGCGAACUUUCCAAGAGAUGGAUUUGUUGCCUUUCGGGAACGCUGAAGACCAGGUGCUGCAUGGCUGUCCGUCAGCUCGUGUUGUGAAAUGUUGGGUUAAGUCCCCGCCAACGAGCGCAACCCUUUAUCCUUUGUUGCCAGCGAUUCGGUCGGGAACUCAAAGGAGACUGCCGGUGAUAAACCGGAGGAAGGUGGGGAUGACGUCAAGUCAUCAUGGCCCUUACGAGUAGGGCUACACACGUGCUACAAUGGCGCAUACAAAGAGAAGCGACCUCGCGAGAGCAAGCGGACCUCACAAAGUGCGUCGUAGUCCGGAUCGGAGUCUGCAACUCGACUCCGUGAAGUCGGAAUCGCUAGUAAUCGUGGAUCAGAAUGCCACGGUGAAUACGUUCCCGGGCCUUGUACACACCGCCCGUCACACCAUGGGAGUGGGUUGCAAAAGAAGUAGGUAGCUUAACCUUCGGGAGGGCGCUUACCACUUUGUGAUUCAUGACUGGGGUGAAGUCGUAACAAGGUAACC